rnacentral:lncRNA from 1 species
ACCCUGUGCUCUGAGGGUGUCUUGCCCGCCGGGCGCCGUGGCUCACGCCUGUAAUCCCAACACUUUGGGAGGCUGAGGCGGGCGGAUCACUUGAGGUCAAGAGUUCAAGACCAGCCUGGCCAACAUGAUUCUACUCUAAAAGUCACCAGGAAAAAUUCAGCUCCACUGGUCCUGGCUCUAAGUCUACUAGCAAAAUCUUCCAGAGAAGUGGAAAAGCCAUCAGCCAAUGUGUUAGACUAUCAUUUCCAUGACCUUACACCUAUCAAAAAGGCACUAUUACCAGGCUUAUAGAAUUCUAAAAAAGUUGGAAACCAUUUUCCAUUAUAAAAGAAAUUCUUCCAAAUCACACAAAACACUCUGACACUUCUCCAAUUCCCCCUAUCAUGGGGCUGGCAGCAGCCGCUUUGCGUCCUGAAUGUCAUGACAGUGAUGAUAACAGUAAUGAUGAUAACAGCAAUGAUGAAGUCUCACAUUUAAAAUUUUCAAGUCACUCAUCACAUCCCAAGUCACUCCCUUCAUUACCUUUUAUUUAUACUGGAGUCAUCCUGUGUGCCUCAGUCAGACCAUUUUGUAUGUACAAUGACCAUCUGAGGCACUGCCUAUAAAGUGGAAGAUAUAAUUAUAAUACUACAGACGUCAUUCCAGCUUUCCAGUUGCUUAUGGUCCAGCAGGGAGGAUGCACAUGGGAAAAAUAAUAACUAAUGACAAAUGUGAUGAGUCUUAACAAAGAAGAAGAGCAUAUUGCAAGGGAAUGUAAUUCACUCCAGGGACAAUGAGAUUUAACAUGCAGUUUGCAGAUCCUCCCUUCUCUGGGUCACCUGAAAAUAAGCCACAAACAAAGGAAUGAAAUUGUUGAUGAAAAGGGAAGAGGCAAGACUCCAUAUGAAGAAUACAACUGACUCACCUGUCUGUA